UACGGAGGGGACUAGCGUUGUUCGGAAUUACUGGGCGUAAAGCGCACGUAGGCGGAUUUGUAAGUCCGGGGUGAAAUCCCGGGGCUCAACCUCGGAACUGCCUUUGAUACUGCAAAUCUCGAGUCCGGAAGAGGUGAGUGGAAUUCCUAGUGUAGAGGUGAAAUUCGUAGAUAUUAGGAAGAACACCAGUGGCGAAGGCGGCUCACUGGUCCGGUACUGACGCUGAGGUGCGAAAGCGUGGGGAGCAAACAGG
rnacentral:rRNA from 1 species